UACAGAGGUCUCAAGCGUUGUUCGGAUUCAUUGGGCGUAAAGGGUGCGUAGGUGGCGCGGUAAGUCGGGUGUGAAAUCUCGGAGCUUAACUCCGAAAUUGCAUUCGAUACUGCCGUGCUCGAGGACUGGAGAGGAGACUGGAAUUCAUGGUGUAGCAGUGAAAUGCGUAGAGAUCAUGAGGAAGACCAGUGGCGAAGGCGGGUCUCUGGACAGUUCCUGACACUGAGACACGAAGGCCAGGGGAGCAAACGGGG
rnacentral:rRNA from 1 species